rnacentral:rRNA from 1 species
AAUAUCUACAACGAUUUCUUUUGAAGUCGUUGGGUGCGAGAAGUCAAAUGGAUUAGACCUGAAGCCAGAUGAUCUAUUCAUGGGCAAGGUGAAGUCUCUCGAAAGAGGGAUGGAGGCCUGAACCGGUGUUGUGAACAUGCACUCGAAUGAUCUGUGAAUAGGGGUGAAAAGCCUCUCUAAUCUGGCGAUGGCUGGUUCCUGCUGAAAUAUGCCUUCGUAUAGUCUUGUUUAGUUUGUUAGCGGUGUAAAGUACGGAUAGAAUUCGCAGGAGCUAAUGCUUACGGAAUUCUUUCCAACUCAGAAGCUGUUAACUGCUUAGAACAGGAAACAGGGGCGGUAUGUAAGAUACUGUUCCGAGAGUGGAAUAACACAGACCAAAGUUAAGGUCCCAAAAUUUAUGCUAAGUGUAUCAAAAGGCGUCUUAAAUCUGAGACAGUAGGGAUGUAAGCUUAGAAGCAGCUAUCAUUUAAAGAAAGCGUAACAGCUCACCUAUCAAGAUUCAAGGCCCUGAAAAUGGACGGGGCUCAAGCAUAAUACCGACACUUUGGCGGAACUCGUAAGAGUUUUCGGGUAAGCAGGCGUGGUUUUUGUGCAGAAGCAUUUUCGAGAGAAAGUGUGGAACGAAAACCAAUGAGAAUCCUGGUAAUAGUAGGAUGUGAUUAUCCUGAGAAUGGAUAAGGUCGUAAGGGUAAGGUUUCCUCGGCAAUAUACGUUAGCCGAGGGUUAGUCAGAACCUAAGUUGUGUCUUAACUGAGCACGACGAUGGAUGUCAGGUUAAUAUUCCUGAACUAAUUGAAUCUUAUAUAGUAUAUUUUGCUUUGGGAUAAAUGAGCAUUCGAAAGAAUGUUCUAACAAAAAAAUUUAUUGAGGGUAAUCCAUAGACGUAAAUGAAUUUGUUAGACAAAAUUGUUGAUUCCGAGAGCCAGUGAAAAGAUUAUACUCUUGAUUUAAUUAUCUGUACCCACAACCGACACUGGUGCCCUAGCUGAAAAGGCUAAGACCUGUAAGGGAAAACCAACUAAGGGAAUUCGGCAAAUUAGCCCUGUAGCUUCGGCUUAAGGGGUGUCUAUCUUUGUAUGCUUAGAAAUUUGUGUGCAUUGGUAGAUUUCAAUAACAAGGAUGGCCCGACUGUUUACCAAAAACGUAGCCACGUGCUAAUCUGAAAAGACUUGUAUACGUGGUGAGACCUGCCCAGUGGUGGUGUCUCAAACUCUUUUUCAAGGGAGCUAAGGCCCAUUAAACGGCGGAGGUAACUAUGACCUUCUUAAGGUAGCGUAAUACCUUGUCGUCUGAAUGGCGACUUGCAUGAAUGGUUUAACGAGGUUGUCACUGUCCCUAGUUGGAGCCUUCUGAAAAUACUGCGUGGUGAAAAUGCCACGGACAUCUAGUGGGAAGCGAAGACCUUGUGGAACUUUACUGCAACUUGUUGUUGUGAUUUUAUCAGAAAUGCAUAGGAUAGGUAGGAGCGUCGAAGUGUUAAUUUAGGUUGGCAUGGAGCAAAAGUGUAAUACUACUUAUUUUUGCUAAGAUUGCUUACUGUUUACAGGACAGCAACAGGCGGGCAGUUUGGCUGGGGCGGCGCCCUGUCGAAAAAAUAUCGAUAGGACCCAAAGAUAAGCUCAUCUAGCUUGGAAAUCUAGAGUUGAGUGCGAGGGCAAAAGCUUAUCUGACUGUAUUUUGAAAAGCAAGAAAUGCAGAGAGGAAACUCGGGCCUAGUGAACCCACGUGCUUUUUUAAUAGAAGCCGUGUCUGAUAGAAAAGUUACCCCAAGGAUAACAGGCUUGUCGCGCCCGAUAGUCCAUAUUGACGGCGCGGUUUGGUACAUCGCUGUCGGCUCUUCCUAUCCUGCGCGUGCAGAAGCGUGCAAGGGUGUCGGAGUUCACGCAUUAAAAGGAAUCGUUAGCUGGGUUAAGAACGUCGUGAGACAGUUUGUAUGAUAUCUCCUAGGUGUGUUGUUGUCUGAGUGGAACUAUCUUGUAGUACGAGAGGAACCAAGAUCGGAUGCCUCUGGUGAGCAGUUGUCAUUUGGCAGGUUGCAUAGCUACGCAUUGUGUGGAUAAGAGCUGAACGCAUCUAAGCUCGAAGCCAUCCGCAAAACGAGACAACUAAGGCCGUCGAAGAAGACGACGUUGAUAGAGUUCUUGUGUAAGAUUCAAGUGCGCAAGUGCGAGAAUUUCAGCAUAGAACUACUAAAAGCUUUAUUUAGUAUU